GAAAUGCGAUAAGUAAUGUGAAUUGCGGAAUUCAGUGAAUCAUCGAAUCUUUGAACGCACCUUGCGCUCCUUGGUAUUCCUUGGAGCAUGCCUGUUUGAGUAUCAUGAAAUCUUCAAAGUAAAUCUUUUGUUAACUCAAUUGGUUUCUACUUUGGUAUUGGAGGUCUUUGCAGCUUCACACCUGCUCCUCUUUGUUCAUUAGCUGGAUCUCAGUGUUAUGCUUGGUUCCACUCGGCGUGAUAAGUUAUCUAUCGCUGAGGACACUGUAAAAGGUGGCCAAGGUAAAUGCAGAUGAACCGCUUCUAAUAGUCCAUUGACUUGGACAAUACUUUUAUGAUUUGAUCUCAAAUCAGGUAGGACUACCCGCUGAACUUAAGC
rnacentral:misc_RNA from 1 species